rnacentral:piRNA from 1 species
UAAGGCUUUGAUGAAGUUGGAACUUC